rnacentral:rRNA from 1 species
AGGACGAACGCUGGCGGCGUGCUUAACACAUGCAAGUCGAACGGAGUUAAGCGCUGAAUUGAUGCUAGCUUGCUAGUGGAUUUCUUGCUUAACUAGUGGCGGACGGGUGAGUAACGCGUGAGUAACCUGCCUCUCAGUGGGGAAUAACGCCCUGAAAAGAGCGCUAAUACCGCAUAAUAUAUUCUUGCCGCAUGACAGGAAUAUCAAAGAUUUAUCGCUGAGAGAUGGACUCGCGUCCGAUUAGCUAGUUGGCGGGUAACGGCCCACCAAGGCGACGAUCGGUAGCCGGACUGAGAGGUUGAACGGCCACAUUGGGACUGAGACACGGCCCAGACUCCUACGGGAGGCAGCAGUGGGGGAUAUUGCGCAAAUGGGGGAAACCCUGACGCAGCAACGCCGCGUGGAGGAUGACGGUUUUCGGAUUGUAAACUCCUUUUAUAAGGGACGAACUAAGACGGUACCUUAUGAAUAAGCUCCGGCUAACUACGUGCCAGCCGCCGC